GCCUUUGUCUCUAGCUGCAGCCGGCGUUUCAGGUCUCGUCUUCACUGGUCUGUGUCCUAUUCUCCUGGAGGCCCAGCCUCUGUGGCCCUGUGACCUGCAGGUAUUGGGAGAUCCACAGCUAAAACCCCAGGACACCCUGGAAGCAUAGAAAUGUUCUUCAGACAAUCAGUAAAAACAAACUUCUCCAAGCUAAAGGAGGAUGUUCGAAUCCAUCAUAAAGAAGCUGGAAACCUUGAAAAAAGAUUAGAUGAAUGGCUAACUAUAAUAGACAGUGUAGAGAAGACCUUAAAUGACCUGAUAGAGCUGAAAACCAUGGCCCAAAAACUACGUGAUGAAUGCAGAAGCUUGAGUAUCCAAUGUGAUCAACAGGAAGAAAAAGUAUCAGUGAUUGUUAAAAUGAAUGAAAUGAAGCAAGAAGAGAAGUUUAGAGAUAAAAUAAUAAAAAGAAAUGAACAAAGCCUCCAAGAAAUAUGGGACUAUGUGAAAAGACCAAAUCUACGUCUGAUUGGUGUACCUGAAAGUGAUGGGGAGAAUAGAACCAAGUUGGAAAACACUCUGCAGGAUAUUAUCCAGGAGAACUUCCCCAACCUAGCAAGGCAGGCCGACAUUCAAAUUCAGGAAAUACAG
rnacentral:lncRNA from 1 species